AUUGAACGCUAGCGGGAUGCUUUACACAUGCAAGUCGAACGGCAGCGCGGACUUCGGUCUGGCGGCGAGUGGCGAACGGGUGAGUAAUGUAUCGGAACGUGCCCAGUAGCGGGGGAUAACUACGCGAAAGCGUAGCUAAUACCGCAUACGCCCUACGGGGGAAAGCAGGGGAUCGUAAGACCUUGCACUAUUGGAGCGGCCGAUAUCGGAUUAGCUAGUUGGUGAGGUAACGGCUCACCAAGGCGACGAUCCGUAGCUGGUUUGAGAGGACGACCAGCCACCCUGGGACUGAGACACGGCCCCGACUCCUAAGGGAGGCAGCAGUGGGGAAUUUUGGACCAUGGGGGCAACCCUGAUCCAGCCAUCCCGCGUGUGCGAUGAAGGCCUUCGGGUUGUAAAGCACUUUUGGCAGGAAAGAAACGUCGCGGGCUAAUACCCCGUGGAACUGACGGUACCUGCAGAAUAAGCACCGGCUAACUACGUG
rnacentral:rRNA from 1 species